ensembl:lncRNA
GAUGUUGGAUAUCCAACAGAUAUUCAACAGAUAUUCGGCCAUUAAUUUCCUAUGGAAGACGGCUUUUUGCUCAAUAGCUUCCGAGUUAUGGGACCCAGAGGCCCCAGACCAAUGUAGACCUGUCCUACUAUGUGGUACUAACAACACACACCUCACUAAAAAUUUAUAUUUUAUUUAUUUCAUUUUAAUUGUGAAAAAUUGCGGAAAAUAUAUAUUUGUAAAAUAAGCCUUGUGGCACAUGGGGGUUAUUAUUAUCUGUCUUAUACAGUUGGUUUGAUAUCUUGAGGUCAAAAGGUUAAGGAGCAUAAUACGUUUAUUUAUUUAUUUUAUUUGUGAAAAAUUGCCCAAAUGAUAUAUUUGAAAAAUAAGCCUUGUGGCAAAUGGGGGUUAUUAUUAUCUGUGUUAUACAGUUGGUUUUAUAUCUUGAGGUCAAAAGGUCAAGGAGCAUAAUACGUUUAUUUAUUUAUUUUAUUUGUGAAAAAUUGCCCAAAUGAUAUAUUUGAAAAAUAAGCCUUGUGGCAAAUGGGGGUUAUUAUUAUCUGUGUUAUACAGUUGGUUUUAUAUCUUGAGGUCAAAAGGUCAAGGAGCAUAAUACGUUUAUUUAUUUAUUUUAUUUGUGAAAAAUUGCCGUAAUGAUAUUUUUGAAAAAUAAGCCUUGUGGCACAGGGGGGUUAUUAUUAUCUGUCUUAUACAGUUGGUUUGAUAUCUUGAGGUCAAAAGGUCAAGGAGCAUAAUACGUUUUAUUUAUUUAUUUUAUUUGUGAAAAAUUGCCCAAAUUAUAUAUUUGAAAAACAAGCCUUGUGGCACAUGUGGGUUAUUAUUAUCUGUGUUAUACAGUUGGUUUGAUAUCUUGAGGUCAAAAGGUCAAGGAGCAUAAUACGUUUAUUUAUUUAUUUUAUUUGUGAAAAAUUGCCCAAAUGAUAUAUUUGAAAAAUAAGCCUUGUGGCAAAUGGGGGUUAUUAUUAUCUGUGUUAUACAGUUGGUUUUAUAUCUUGAGGUCAAAAGGUCAAGGAGCAUAAUACGUUUAUUUAUUUAUUUUAUUUGUGAAAAAUUGCCGAAAUGAUAUUUUUGAAAAAUAAGCCUUGUGGCACAGGGGGGUUAUUAUUAUCUGUGUUAUACAGUUGGUUUGAUAUCUUGAGGUCAAUAGGUCAAGGAGCAUAAUACGUUUAUUUAUUUAUUUUAUUUGUGAAAAAUUGCCCAAAUGAUAUAUUUGAAAAAUAAGCCUUGUGGCAAAUGGGGGUUAUUAUUAUCUGUGUUAUACAGUUGGUUUGAUAUCUUGAGGUCAAAAGGUCAAGGAGCAUAAUACGUUUAUUUAUAAAUGUUAUAUUAAUUGUUAAAAAAUGCUGAAAUUAUAUAUUUGAAAAACAAGCCUUGUGGCACAUGGGGGUUAUUAUUGUCUGUAUUAUACAGUUGGUUUGACAUCUUGAGGUCAAAAGGUCAAGGAGCAUAAUAAGUUUAAAAAAGAAGUAAAAAAUCAAUGAAUUUUUUUUUUUGGAAAAAUAAGCCUUGUGGCACAUGAGGGACAUUAAUCAGUAUGUUGCGCAGUUUGUUAGACAUCAUUCACUAAAAUGGUUGAAG